GCUCGCCGGCGGGCGGGCGGGCGGGGGGAGCAUUCCUGCGCCGCGGGGCCCCGGCGCGCCCCGCUCCCGCCGCCCCCCGCCCGCAGGUGCAGGGGGCUGGCACUCGGAAACUGGAAAGAGCUGGUUGGAGUUUGCACUUUAAGCUCCCGACAGGGAGGGAGACGGGGGCUCGGAGCUGGUCUGGGCGCCCAGCGCCACGGGAGGAUGGCUCGGUGGCUGCGGUCCCUCGUGGGAGCCCUGCUCCUGCUCGAGGGGGCGGCCGCCCUCAGCUUUCUCCACCAUCGCUACGAGGAGAUGGUGCAGGCCCUGUUCCGCGUGCAGAGCCAGUGCCCCUACGUCACCCGCAUCUACAGCAUCGGCCGCAGCGUCGAGGGCCGACACCUCUACGUGCUGGAGUUCAGCGACUACCCAGGCAUCCACGAGCCCCUGGAGCCAGAGUUCAAGUAUGUCGGGAACAUGCAUGGGAACGAGGUGCUGGGCCGUGAGCUGCUGCUGCAGCUCUCUGAGUUCCUGUGUGAGGAGUACCGCCGGGGCAACGAGCGGAUCACCCACCUCAUCCAUGACACGCGCAUCCACAUCAUGCCGUCCAUGAACCCCGACGGGUACGAAGUCGCUGCCAAGCAGGGCCCAGACAGCAAUGGGUACUUGACGGGGAGGAACAACGCCAAUGGAGUGGACUUGAACCGUAACUUCCCUGACCUCAACACGUUCAUGUACUACAGUGGGGAAAUCAACGGGCGAAAUCACCAUAUCCCGCUGCCUGACAACUGGAAAAGCCAGGUGGAGCCGGAGACGUUGGCUGUGAUCCAGUGGAUCAGCAGCUACAACUUUGUGCUCUCGGCCAAUCUGCACGGUGGGGCGGUGGUGGCAAAUUACCCCUAUGACAAGUCUCAGGACCAGCGGUUCAGGAGCCACCGGCGCACAGUCAACACGCCUACCCCGGACGACAAGUUGUUUCAGAAGCUGGCCAAGACCUAUUCAUACGCCCAUGGCUGGAUGCAUCGUGGCUGGAACUGCGGGGACUACUUUGCCGAUGGCAUCACGAAUGGGGCAUCCUGGUACUCACUCAGCAAAGGCAUGCAGGACUUCAAUUACCUCUACACCAACUGCUUUGAAAUCACCCUGGAGCUGAGCUGCAAUAAGUUCCCCCCCGAGGAGGACCUGGAGCGGCAGUGGAUGGCCAACCGGGAGGCCCUUGUUGCUUUCAUUGAAGAGGUUCACCAGGGCAUCAAAGGGAUGGUGUCGGACGAGAACAACAAUGGCAUUGCAGGAGCAGUGAUUUCUGUCCAGGGAAUCAGCCAUGACAUCACCUCUGGUGAUAUGGGAGAUUAUUUCCGGCUGCUGCUGCCUGGCACUUACACUGUCACAGCCUCUGCAGAGGGGUACCAGCCCCAGACGGUGACAACAACGGUGGGCCCAGCUGCACCUUCAUUGGACGUGAUGAUGUGGAGACAGCAUCUGUUCCCUCAGGCUCCGUUAUCCCCCUGGCUCCGUGGGUUUCAGUGCUCUGCUACCAUCUGCAUCCUGCCUGGGACCAAACACGCUAUCAGACUCGUAGCAAGAGGCUGAAGUCUGCCUUUCUUUCUGCCGAGAGCACCCAAGACAGAUGGGAACUGGGUGCCAACAAAGAACAGCCAAGCACCUUUGGGAGAUGAAGUGCUCUUGACACCAGUGUGGUCCCUACAGCGCCUUUCUGAGGGCAGGCCGGACAACUAGAAGUUGGUUAUAAAAACAAUGGGUGGUGAUUCCUGCCCCUGCUGUUGCAUUAUGAACGUGGUGGGACUGCAGAUGCAGCCUCCUCUAAGGACCGGCAAGAACCCCCUGGCUGCGGCAUCCUGGCACAUCAUUUGUUUCACUGCAUGUACACUGGUCAGGCUCUGCCAUAAAUACACUGCGGUGGUUCUCCCACCCUCCCUCUCUUCAUCCCACCCUACCCAGCCUCUGAAGUUCUUCCAGAGCUGCCCUUUUCUCAGGAUUAGAAACCUUCUAAUUUUCGUCCUAAAUUUAUUUAUGGUGCAUUUCCAGCUCAAACAAGAUGUGGUGAGGAAGGCCCCGGAGCGUAAAGCCUCAGGCACACGCAUGAACAACAAAGCCCUUCAGAAGAAGGUAGUGCCAAGAGCCACCCGCCGGGGGACCCAAAGAUGAGGACGGCUCACUUGGCUGAGAGCUGGGGGGAAGCCCUUUAUACAAGGCCUGGCUGAUGACUCCAGCCAGUGAACUUUCCAACAGUCCAGCAUGAAACUAGCCCAAAUUAUUAGGUUAUUAAACAAGGAAGUAUUUAA